rnacentral:rRNA from 1 species
CUACGGGCCGCUGCAGUGAGGAAUAUUGGUCAAUGGGCGCGAGCCUGAACCAGCCAUCCCGCGUGCAGGAUGACGGCCCUAUGGGUUGUAAACUGCUUUUCUAUGCCAAGAAACCCUGUUACGAGUAACAGGUUGCCGGUAGCAUAGGAAUAAGCAUCGGCUAACUCCGUGCCAGCAGCCGCGGUAAUACGGAGGAUGCAAGCGUUAUCCGGAUUCAUUGGGUUUAAAGGGUGCGCAGGUGGGCUUGUAAGUCAGUGGUGAAAUGCUGCCGCUUAACGGUAGAACUGCCAUUGAUACUGCGAGUCUUGAGUAUGGUUGAGGUAGGCGGAAUGUGUUGUGUAGCGGUGAAAUGCAUAGAUAUGACACAGAACGCCAAUUGCGAAGGCAGCUUACUAAGCCAUUACUGACGCUGAGGCACGAAAGCGUGGGGAGCGAACAGGAUUAGAUACCCCGGUAGUC